GACCUCAUUUUGGCUUCCUGAUUUGCACCCUGUCAUUCUUAUUUCCCUCCUCUUUCCACGGACAUCCCUUAACCCUGUCCCUUAGGGGCAGGGAGUCUGAGAAAUGCAUUACAAAGACAACAGCAAGAGCAACAGCAGUAACAGUCCAAGGGGCUGUAAUCAUUGCGCACCUGCUGGUUGUGGAGCCCGUGCUAAGCUGUGCUUAAUGUCUUGUUCCUCAAGAUGUGGUCCCCAGACCAGCAACCUUGGCAUUGCCUGGGAACUGGUUGGAAAUGCAGUGUCUCAGGUUCUACUCUGGACUUCUCUGUCCCUGCCCCUCCAGCCUCCCAGGGAAUGGAAGUGUCCAGGCACUGCUGAUGACUGGGGACUCCAGGAAAGUGCCUCCAUCCAGCUGAGAAGCUCUUUGUGUGCUCGGCACUGCGAGCCAGAAAUAAAACACAAUACUUCACUCUCGGCUGCUCGAGGACGAAGCCUUCUGGUUUCACUGGUUCGCGGCUGAAGCCCAGUGGUUAGAACGGCUCCUGGCUGCGCCAGGUGCUCAGUCACGUCUGGGGAGAGAAUGCGUAAGUGGCUACAAUCAAGCUGAGUAUCACUGGGAAGUAGUCCUGCUUGGUAUGGAAGCCAGACUCACAUCAGCAAGUUGCUGGACGUUCCAAGUAAUGUACAACAGCUGUUUGCAGCUUCUUGUCAUGAGCAAAAGCAAGCAGCCUCCUUCUGUGAACACACACAUGCACACACACACACACACACACACACAGAUACAGUGUGCCGCACACAGAGCUGCAUGUAACCACACUAUAGACACAACCGAUUUUUCUCCCUAUCUCUGGUGAUAAUUAUUACAACUGCAUUAUUGUACCCAUAGCAAGCCAAGAGUCAAAAAUUCUGUCUUCCAGUAACUUCUAGCAACUUGUAGUUUGUAUUACACACACAUACACACACCCAAGAAAAAGUACUUGUAGGGAAGAUUGUUUGUGGUGAGCCUUGGGCCGUGUUUCUCACUGUGGAACUAUCUGAAGCUGGACAAAUCAUCUCAUCAUUCUUUAGAGAUCAGAGACACCAUCCUUUGAGGAAAGCCAGGCUGGGCUGGCCCAGGGGGCUCUGUAGGACCUCACUGUGAAGGUUUGUUGUCCCAAGAGAGUUGGGCUAUCUUUUUUUUUUCCCUCACUACCGGGGAUUGAACCCAGGGCCUUCACAUGGAGCUACAUCCCAGCCAUUUUAAAAUUUUUAAUUAGAGACAAGGUAUCUCUAAGUUGCCCAUGAGUGCAAACUUGUGAUCCUCCUGCCUCAGCCCCCAGAAUGCUGGGAUUACAGGCAUUCACCACUGUUCCUGGCUUGGCUCCCCUUUUA
rnacentral:lncRNA from 1 species